GCAGUAUAUUGACUGUGCUAAGGUAGCAUAAUCAUUAGUCUUUUAAUUGGGGACUGGUAUGAAUGGCUUAACGAGAGAUUGACUUUUUUUGUUAUAUUUAUUGAAUUUAAUUUUUUAGUGAAAAAGCUAAAAUUUUUCAGAAAGACGAGAAGACCCUAUAGAGUUUUAUGUAUAAUUAUAUUACUUAUUAUUAGAUUUUUAAGAAAUUAAUAUAAUUAAACAUUUUGUUGGGGCGACAUUAAGAUAUAAAAAACUCUUAUUUUUUUAAAUUUUUUUUAAAAUAUAAUUUGAUCCUUUAAAAGAGAUUAUAAGAAAAAAUUACCUUAGGGAUAACAGCGUAAUCUUUUUUGAGAGUUCCAAUCGACAAAAAGGUUUGCGACCUCGAUGUUGGAUUAAAAUUUAAGCAAGGUGCAGCUGCUUUGUUGUUAGGUCUGUUCGACCUAUA
rnacentral:rRNA from 1 species